UCAAAGUAAAAAAUAUACGGAUAAAGAAGCGCACACCUCUCCCUACCUUUACCAAAUUCCCUUCUCUCUCUUCCUCAAACCAAUUUCCAAUUCGAUUCCUGCUCUUUCGUUGAGAUCCUCGCAAUUCAUAGCCUUUCUACUUUCUAGUUUCAAUUCAGUCUGGGCCUCACCGAAGCUCGACAUUUGUUACAGGACUUUGGACUCCGUGAAAAAAAGAUUCCGAUGAAACAAUGAUGUCUUCUUCCUAAGUUUCAAAGGUGCACGCACUCGCUAUGGUUUUACAGGCCAUGUAUAUGAGGUUCUAUGUAACCUCUAUGGAGAAUGUUCACAAGGAUGGUGCACUGAAUCUUGAAUUUAUCCAAAGAAUUUUUAAAGAGAUAUCAAGUAUUAAAUUGAAUUGCACGAAGUUAUUUGUUGCUAAAUAUCUAGUGGGAAUUGAUUCUCGAGUGGAGGCCAUAGAUAUGAAGUCAAAUGAUGUUUGCAUGGUAGGAAUUCAUGGCAUGGGGGGAGUAGGUAAGAAUACAAUCACAAAAGCUGUUUAUAAUAGAAUUGCUGAUCAUUUUGAAGGAAGUUGCUUUCUUGAAAAUAUAAGAGAAAAGUCAAGAACAAAUGAUGGCCUACUCCAACUACAAGAAGCACUUCUUUUUGAGAUCUUUGGGGAUAGAUAUUUCAAGGUAAACAGCGUACCUGAAGGAAUCAAUAGAAUGAUAGAAAGACUUUUCCAUACAAGGGUUCUUUUAAUUCUUGAUGAUGUUGAUGAAUCGAGAAAUAGAAAAUUUGUUUGGAGAAUGUGAUUGGUUUACUUCAGGAAGUAGAAUCAUUAUAACAACAAGAGACAAACAAGCACUCUUGGAAAAGAUCAUCCAAUUUAUGAGGAUAAGGAAUUGAAUCAAUGUGAAGCUUGUGAACUCUUUGAACUACAUGUCUUCCAGAUAGACAAAUGAACUUAAGGAAGAGUAUUCAAAACUUUCAAAGCAGAUUAUAUAUUACGCCAGUGGUCUUCCACUAGAUGUGAAUGGGAAAGUGCAUUAGAAAAGUAUAAACAUAUUCCUCAUGAAAAAAUCCAAGAAGAACUCAAAAUAAGUUUUGAUAGAGAAAUAUAUUUUUCUUGAUAUUGCAUGUUUCUUCAAGGGAUUCUACAAGGAUUAUGUUGUAAAUAUAUUAUAAAUGCUUGCAAUUUAUGUCUGGAUUAUGGUACUAGAAGACGUAUGGAUAAGUGUCUCAUAACUUUUGCGGUCAAUUAUCAAUGCAUGACUUGCUACCCAACAAAUGGGUAGGGAAAUUUUUCAAUAAGAAUCAAAAGAGCUUGGAAAUCAUAGCAAAGGAUAUGGUGUUAUAAAGGUGCUCAUGAAGUACUAACUAGAAAAAUGGUACUUUGGUUUCACUUUUCCACCCCCAUUUUUAAUGAUGGAGAAAAAUAAGUUUAUCUGUAUACUAUUUUAUUCUCAAAUUUCAAAUCUGCUAUGUUGUGCGGUUUCCUCAAUGGUUUGUGCAAUUAAGGAUCAUGUAAAAUUCUAGGCAUAGUGUAGCGCUUGGCUAAACCAAUAAUGGUGAACUUGCAUGCUAAUGCUUUCGAAAGGUUGGAAAAUCUCAAAUUGCCCAUGGUUCGUAAUGUCAUCAUUUGUGGAGAACUUAAAUAUAUCCCAACGGGUUAGGGUGGUUUGAUUGGCCCGAUUAUUAUUUUUCCUGGCCAUCCGCUUUUUGUCUACAGCAACUUGUCAUAACAUGCCAUGUAGUCACAUUCGAGUGGAGUUGCUAUUCAAACAGAUGGAGUAUGUGAAUGUGCAAGAAGUGACAUACUAAUGGAUCCACAAUCAUCAACCUUAUUAUCGCAUCAGGUAAAAUUGCCCAAUCUGAUGACCUGUCCAUGACUCGGUGGCCAACUCAAAUGUGAUUUUGCCUGAUCCCUCAGUUGGCAGCGGGUAGAGAAGACUGAGCCCAACGGACCCUCGAUCACCCAAUGCAUGAGAAGACCAGGACUGAGAUAGCUUAUCCGGUGGAAAUCAUUCUCUUUAGUCUUUACCUUGACUGUUGCUAACCCUACUCUUCUUUGAACAAGAUGGAGUUAUUGGAAUAAAUACCAUGAAUGAUGAUCUUUUAAUUUCACAACAGAAUCAAAAACAGUUUUUGCCUAUCAUACUUGAGUCAUUUUACAUGUACUGCACGCAAUUAAUUUAGAUUGAAUCUUUUUGUGUUAAAGAGAAAUUUCAAUUGCAAUUACAAAAUACACUUUCUUGUGCAACAUAA